AGCUUCCUGCCAACCACCUUGGCAUCUUGCUGACUGCUUGGAACAAAAAGACGUGCAGGGAUGAAAGGGCCCUAAAAGCAAGGUAAGAAAAAAGAGUGAGAGAAACGACGAGGGAGCAAAGAAAGCAUGUCAAGAUCAAAGCUUGGGGUGAUGACACUGAAAAUACAUACAUGGGAGCGCUCUACAGGAGCCAAAAGAGACCCAUUGUCAUCGUGGAGGAGCAAAACACAAUAUAAGGAGAACAAAGGGAUUGGACUCCCGGUAGUGAGAUAACCGGGAUAGAUGCUAUAAAUUAAAUCAACACUGCGGUGUCUUGCCGCCACUUUGGAUAUAUGCGUACUAUUAUCUUGCCCCUCGGGGGAUAUUUCCAUAUGUAGUUGUCGCGAGAGAGGCAUAUCUCAGGGAAAAUUUCCAGCAAAACGUACGUACGCAGUAGUUAUCCUAGUAGUUAGUAGUGUUACAAAGAAGACC
rnacentral:sRNA from 1 species